GAUGAACGCUAGCGGCAGGCCUAAUACAUGCAAGUCGAGGGGCAACAGGUGUAGCAAUACAUGCUGGCGACCGGCGCACGGGUGCGUAACACGUAUAUAAUCUGCCCAUUACUGGAAGAUAGCCCGGAGAAAUUCGGAUUAAUAUUCCAUAACACUAUAGUUCGGCAUCGGACAGUAGUUAAAGAUUUAUCGGUAAUGGAAGAGUAUGCGGCUGAUUAGCUAGUUGGUGAGGUAACGGCUCACCAAGGCAACGAUCAGUAGGGGACCUGAGAGGGUGAUCCCCCACACUGGUACUGAGAUACGGACCAGACUCCUACGGGAGGCAGCAGUAGGGAAUAUUGGGCAAUGGACGCAAGUCUGACCCAGCCAUGCCGCGUGCAGGAAGACGGCCUUCUGGGUUGUAAACUGCUUUUGAACGGGAACAAAGAGCCCAUGCGUGGGAAGUUGAGUGUACCGUUAGAAUAAGCACCGGCUAACUCCGUGCCAGCAGCCGCCGUAAAAC
rnacentral:rRNA from 1 species